UCUGAGAGAGACCAAGACACAUUAGGCCCAGCUCACCCCGGGAAGUCUCUAAGUACAGGAAAUUCUAAAAUCACCUUCAUUUAUAUUGGUUUAUCUUUUUGAGACACUUAGUUACUCCUGAGUGGCCUUGCUAUGAAGAUUCAUUACCUUUUCUUAGCUCUUCUUAUCUUUGGCCUGUUACCUGCCUCAGGAACUGAAGAUGAUUAUGUGGUCACUAGCUUCCUGGACUGUAAAAAUCAAACAUCGUGUAGUUCUCCAAGUGAAAAUGGAAGCUGUUCUCAUGUUAACAAGGAGGUUGGAGUAUGUGUCUUGCGUUUUAGAAAAAGUGCCCAGCAACCAACUAUAAAGAAAUAGAAAAUUAGGAAGACGGAACAAUCAACACCCUCGUCUUAUUAAAAAAUAAAUUCUA